AGCUUUGCGCAGUGGCAGUAUCAUGGCCAGUGAGUUUUAUCCAAGGCAUAAUUAUUGCUAAUUGAAAUUUUUUCUCAAUAUCCUGCCAUGACAACUUGAAACACAGUCAGCAUUGGCAAUUUUUGAGUCUCUACAGAGA
ensembl:snRNA U4 U4 spliceosomal RNA